GCAGGAGUGGGACAGUGGAGAGGCACAGGGCAGGGCUGUGCUGCUGGAGGGGACAGUGUGACACUGGUGCAGGGGAAUGUUCCUCAGCGUGGAGCAUCUCCCCUCCACGGCCAGCCCUGCAGGAAAGGCUGCAAACCUUGUGCAAUUCCCAGCUCCUCCUUCUCUGUCCCAGCAUCCCUUCACAUCACCUUUGAUUCCUCAUUUAAAGGUGGUCUCUGGUGCUGUGCACAAAACAGGGUGAGUUGCUUUAGUUUGGCCACUGCUGCUGAUCCCCAGAGGCAUCAAAUCUGUGCAUUAAUAAUUUGUAUCAUUUUGGGAAGUUUUUAGCACCAAGCUGGGCUUUGCUGGUGCCCUGGAGUGGCCAGGGCUGGUUAUUCCUCUUUCAGGCUCCCUUCUCAACACAGUCCAAAUGGAAAUAUGUCCUCAGAGCAUCCCCAGUUUUGGCAGCACUCCUAACAUUCCCUGCUUCUCCUUAUUCCAGGGCUGUAGUGAUUGUUGAGAUGAUGAGAUUCUGUGUCCUGCCACCCUUUCCAGACACCUGUGUCUUCAGGGUUUGUCUGGGACACAGGAAACAUCCACUCCCUGAUGCUCUUGAGGGGUUGAACUGGAUAAAAACUCACCGCAGAUUUCAGAUUUUGGGCUCCAACUCUCGCAUCUCUACUGAGACACCCACCACACCUUUUAGGGUUUGAGUCUGGCCAGGAUGGAAAGGGUUGCAGGCAGCUCGAGGCAGACAGGAUUUUGGCAGGCAGGAGAGCGUUCCAAGGGCACAGUCCUGGCUGAAGGCAGGACCCCGCUGGGCUGCUCCGCUCCAGCGCCUCGCAGGGAGAUGUGUCCGUCUGUCCCGGCGUCUGUCCCCUCGUGUCCCAGCACUGCAGGACCCUGGGGCACUUACUGUCACUUCUGAUCUCGGGGGGAGCUGCUCCUUCCCCCUGUGCUCGCAGCAGGGCUUGGCUUUGGAAGCAGAAUUUUGGAAGUAGAAUUCCCGGGGAGCAAGGUCGAGCUGUCACCCUGUGGCUGGCAGAGCUGCUGGGCUGUGUCUCCAUCCACAGCAGUCACACCUCUCCUUUCCACCUCUUAAGAGGCAGCAAUAAAUUAAUUGGAGAUUAUUAAUUAGAUUAAUUGCAAAACUUCCAUGAGUCGCCGCCUUCUAGAUCCCAG
rnacentral:lncRNA from 1 species